rnacentral:rRNA from 1 species
CCUACGGGUGGCAGCAGUGAGGAAUAUUGGUCAAUGGCCGGAAGGCUGAACCAGCCAUGCCGCGUGAAGGUCAGUGCCCUAUGGGCGUUAAACUUCUUUUGUGCGGGAGCAAUAAUGGUCACGUGUGGCCAGACGAGAGUACCGUACGAUACAGCAUCGGCUAACUCCGUGCCCGCAGCCGCGGUAAUACGGGGGAUGCAAGCGUUAUCCGGAUUUAUUGGGUUUAAAGAGUGCGUAGGUUGUUUAUUAAGUCAGCGGUGAAAGUUUGUGGCUCAACCAUAAAAUUGCCGUUGAAACUGGAAUACUUGAGUGUGUGUGAGGCAGGCGGAAUGCGUGGUGUAGCGGUGAAAUGCAUAGAUAUCACGCAGAACACCGAUUGCGAAGGCAGCUUACUAAGCCAUAACUGACACUGAGGCACGAAAGCGUGGGGAUCAAACAGGAUUAGAUACCCGUGUAGUC